GACGUAGGGCGCGAGCGUUGUCCGGAUUUAUUGGGCGUAAAGAGCUCGUAGGCGGCUUGUCGCGUCGACCGUGAAAACUUGGGGCUCAACCCCAAGCCUGCGGUCGAUACGGGCAGGCUAGAGUUCGGUAGGGGAGACUGGAAUUCCUGGUGUAGCGGUGAAAUGCGCAGAUAUCAGGAGGAACACUGGUGGCGAAGGCGGGUCUCUGGGCCGAUACUGACGCUGAGGAGCGAAAGCGUGGGGAGCGAACAGG
rnacentral:rRNA from 1 species